rfam:Parcubacteria (Moranbacteria) bacterium GW2011_GWC2_40_12 TT79_C0001, whole genome shotgun sequence.
AGUCGAGGCCGGAUAAUCGCCCGCUCAAGUUUUUGGGCUUGCACCUAUGGCGCAAAUUGAAAGAAGUGCAUCUAAAAACUUGGGCAGGAGGAAAGUCCGGACACCCCCGCUCAAAUUUUUGUUUUCAAGAUGUCAGACCGCGCGAUUGAAAAGGAAUGCGGACGGACAUCAUCAAAAAUUUGAGCGGGAAAUGGGCAAUGGAUAACACCCAUCGGAGGCGUUGAAAGACGUAUUUAGGGAAAGUGCCACAGAGACUAUACGAUCCCGGCGCCAAAGUCGGGAAAAAGGUGAAAAGCCGAUUGAUGUUGUCUGUUCAGGCUUUUGCUUGAAGGGGUCGCACCGCCUCCUUGGGCGAGUUUGGACCCGACCCCAGUGAAAGCCUGAACGGCAGCUGCAAUUGGAAUCGAUUGGUGACGAUCGAAGCUUGGCAAACCCUGCCUGGUGCAAGUCUGAACUCCGGCGUUGUGUCGGAGGAGACGCUCGAUCCCAAUGGCAACAUUGGGACCAGAUAAAUGAUUAUCUCAUCCCUCACCACUUUUUGUGACUUUAUUCCCCGCGAAUUACUGAAAGUUACACCAAUUAUUUUUGGUGAAAGUGGCGAGGGAUAAGACAGAAUCCGGCUUAUAGGCCUCGAACUAACA